rnacentral:rRNA from 1 species
UGGGGAAUUUUGGACAAUGGGCGAAAGCCUGAUCCAGCAAUGCCGCGUGUGUGAAGAAGGCCUUCGGGUUGUAAAGCACUUUUGUCCGGAAAGAAAUCCUUGGCUCUAAUACAGUCGGGGGAUGACGGUACCGGAAGAAUAAGCACCGGCUAACUACGUGCCAGCAGCCGCGGUAAUACGUAGGGUGCAAGCGUUAAUCGGAAUUACUGGGCGUAAAGCGUGCGCAGGCGGUUUGCUAAGACCGAUGUGAAAUCCCCGGGCUCAACCUGGGAACUGCAUUGGUGACUGGCAGGCUAGAGUAUGGCAGAGGGGGGUAGAAUUCCACGUGUAGCAGUGAAAUGCGUAGAGAUGUGGAGGAAUACCGAUGGCGAAGGCAGCCCCCUGGGCCAAUACUGACGCUCAUGCACGAAAAGCGUGGGGAGCAAAACAGGAUUAGAUACCCUGGUAGUCCACGCCCUAAAACGAUGUCAACUAGUUGUUGGGGAUUCAUUUCCUUAGUAACGUAGCUAACGCGUGAAGUUGACCGCCUGGGGAGUACGGUCG